GAUGAACGCUAGCUACAGGCUUAACACAUGCAAGUCGCGGGGCAGCAUGGGGGUUGCUUGCAAUCCCCGAUGGCGACCGGCGCACGGGUGAGUAACGCGUAUCCAACCUGCCCUUCACCACGGGAUAACCCGGCGAAAGUCGGACUAAUACCGUAUGUUGUCCAUUGACGGCAUCCGAUUUGGACGAAAGGUUUGGCGGUGAAGGAUGGGGAUGCGUCCGAUUAGCUGGACGGCGGGGUGACGGCCCACCGUGGCGACGAUCGGUAGGGGUUCUGAGAGGAAGGUCCCCCACACUGGAACUGAGACACGGUCUAGACUCCUACGGGAGGCAGCAGUGAGGAAUAUUGGUCAAUGGGCGUAAGCCUGAACCAGCCAAGUAGCGUGCAGGAUGACGGCCCUAUGGGUUGUAAACUGCUUUUAUGCGGGGAUAAAGUGGCCCACGUGUGGGUUUUUGCAGGUACCGCAUGAAUAAGGACCGGCUAAUUCCGUG
rnacentral:rRNA from 1 species